rnacentral:lncRNA from 1 species
UAGGUGGUGCAACAGAAAAUUUAUUUAGCUCCGGAGCCAAGGGCUUGGGAGGCGUUAUAGGAUUAUUUCAGUGGCAACACCGCUUCCAAAAUCCAAACCUCACGUUCGUCUGCAACGGUCCAUAACUCUACACUAGUACACUUUGCAUUGUUUUUGUUUGAAAAAUUGUUAGGCCACAGCACAGAUGGUGAGGGCAUGGUAUUGUUAUCCAAUACCGACUAAUAUGACUGGAGAUCAAUUUGAAAUUUGAAUAUCUUGCCAACUAUAACUUCCUUUAUAAAAUUUGAGAUAUCUUUCUGAUUGACUGCCUUCUGCUGGUUACUUUGUUGCAGCCAGCUUGCGAAUGGUGUUCUUUUUGCAGGCUUGCUACCUGUACUGGAUGUAACUUUUAUCACAUACUGAAACAACUCUAAAGCAGCAUGUUGUAGAUCUUUCCUUUCUCCACGUGGUUACUGCCAUGUCAUGAAGAUGCAUGUUUGAGAGGGUCUCUACUAUAUUGUAAGACAAAAGUGUGACGAAAACAGAAAAUCUGAAAUGGUGUUCAUUGUCAGUUUGGUGUACAGUGGUUUUGCAGUCAUUUUCCAGUUGAGAGAUGUGCUGAAAUGGAGCUUGUGCACACUUGCAGUUCAACAUCUACUUCAAUGGGUCAUUUGCUUAUGUUGGUCCCCAUGCAGUAUAUGCAGUGUUGAAUGUGCAGUUGGGUAAAAUAGUCAAUGUUCUGUCGGGUUUAUUUUAUCAGCUGCGUUUUUUCGAUCUGUCUUGCUACAGGCGUUGAGUUCAAUCGUUUGCUGCCGUUCCAUUCCAUAGACUUGAUCCAUUGGUGAAACUGAGGUUGCUGAAAUUAAAGACUCGUCAAUAAAUUAUGAGGAAGUAGUUAAAAUUGCAAGUGCAUAUCUGGGCUCCCUUCUUCAGUGGCCUCGUUUCCCUAACUAACCACUAACCAACGCCCGCCGGUGGUCACUCACUCGCUGCGACAACCAGGAGGAAGGGUCUGGUCGAACGGGGACUUGUAAGGCGCAUGAUUCGAUUAAAUCUGUUGGAGGGUCAUGAGUCUAAGCCGCAAACCUACUAUGAUGCAUUGGUCUCAUAAUAGCUGCUCCUGCGGCUCUUUUCGCUCUUUUUCCGGUUUCUCUUAACCACGGCCGGGUAAUCUCCCUGGUAGAGUCAGUCGGGCAGUGUCUCCCCCUGCUUGACUGGCUGCAGUUUGUACCGGACGGUUUGUUUAAUAAAUAAAACAAGUAUAAAAAACCA